rnacentral:tRNA from 2 species
GCCCCGGUAGCUCAGUCCGGCAGAGUGCGAGAGUUGCACCCGGAGAGCGGCGGGCUGCAGACCCGUAGGUCCCGGGUUCAAAUCCCGGCCGGGGCU